rnacentral:rRNA from 1 species
GAUAACUUCAAAAAGGCUUCGACUAUUUGCCCUGAGAGCGAUAUGGAAGCUCUGAAUAAUUUUACUGGAUCCACCCCAGAACAAUUAAGUGGCAAGUUAAAUAGACUGAAACAGAGAUUUGAUCAAGAAAGCAGAAGACAUGUUGAGUCCAUAGACGAUCUGAGGGCAUUGCAUGACAAAAUGGAGCAGAAAAUCUUCAGUAAGCAACAGCUGUAUGCAGGUUUUAGGGCGAACAUCAAUUCGUGUGAAAAAGCUUUGGACUUGUGGUGGAAGAAGUUCCAGAGAAAUGCUGGCCUUUUGAAGCGGCAAUUCACAUGGCUGUUCAAUGAGCACCUGAGAAAGAAAGGUAUCCGUGGAUUAACCUACAUAGAUUACCAGAGUAAAGUUUUAUCUAUUGAGCUAACGAUGCCUCAAGAUGCCUCCCAUGACACCGUCAGACACACUAGAGGACUGUCAGGGGGAGAGCGAUCUUUUUCGACACUUUGCUUCGCUUUAGCACUUCAUGGGAUGACAGAAGCACCUUUUAGGGCCAUGGAUGAGUUUGAUGUAUUCAUGGACGCAGUGAGCCGUAAAAUAAGCUUGGACACCCUUGUAGAUUUUGCUGUUGCACAAGGCUCACAAUGGAUAUUUAUAACACCGCAUGAUAUCAGGUCUGAAAAUCUCCUGUAG